UACGGAGGGUGCAAACGUUGCUCGGAAUUAUUGGGCGUAAAGCGCACGUAGGCGGCCGACUAAGUCGGGUGUGAAAGCCCAGGGCUCAACCCUGGAAGUGCACUCGAAACUGGCCGGCUUGAAUAUGGAAGAGGGUCGCGGAAUUCCCGGUGUAGAGGUGAAAUUCGUAGAUAUCGGGGAGGAACACCAGUGGCGAAGGCGGCGACCUGGGCCAAUAUUGACGCUGAGGUGCGAAAGCGUGGGGAGCAAACAGG
rnacentral:rRNA from 1 species